CAGUAAAAUGCGGGAAUACUUUUAAGUUCCAGGUCGCCCACCAGUAUAAUGCGGGAAUACAUUUAAGUUCUAGGUCGCCCACCAGUAAAAUGCGGGAAUACAUUUAAGUGUAGGUCGCCCACCAGUAAAAUGCGGGAAUACAUUUAAAUUCUAGGUCGCCCACCAGUAAAAUGCGGGAAUACAUUUAAGUUCUAGGUCGCCCACCAGUAUAAUGCGGGAAUACAUUUAAGUUCUAGGUCGCCCACCAGUAAAAUGCGGGAAUACAUUUAAGUUCUAGGUCGCCCACCAGUAAAAUGCGGAAUACAUUUAAGUUCUAGGUCGCCCACCAGUAAAAUGCGGGAAUACUUUUCAGCUCUAGAUUUUGGAAUCAGUAACCCCACCUGAAGGCGGAAGGUUACAAC
rnacentral:lncRNA from 1 species